UGAAAAUGGAUGGCGCUGAAGCGUCGUGCUUAUACUCGGCCGUCAGCGGCAUGUGCGGUCAGCGCGUUUUUAGCGCGCGGCCAUGAAGCUCUGACGAGUAGGAGGGUCGCGACGGUGAGCGCAGAAGGGCUGGCCGUGAGGCCGUCUGGAGCCGCCGUCGGUGCAGAUCUUGGUGGUAGUAGCAAAUACUCCAGCGAGGCCCUGGAGGACUGACGUGGAGAAGGGUUUCGUGUGAACAGCCGUUGCACACGAGUCAGUCGAUCCUAAGCCCUAGGCGAAAGCCGAUGUUGAUGUGGCGUUUAUAUUUAUCGUGUGUUCGUAAUGGAUGAUAUUAUAUAUAUACACACGCCCGUCGGGCGAAAGGGAAUCCGGUUCCUAUUCCGGAACCCGGCAGCGGAACCGUACAAUAGUCGGGCCCUCGCAAGAGAGUUCGUCGGGGCAACCCAAAAGGACCCGGAGACGCCGUCGGGAGAUCCGGGAAGAGUUUUCUUUUCUGCAUAAGCGUUCGAGUUCCAUGGAAUCCUCUAGCAGGGAGAUAUGGUUUGGAACGCGAAGAGCACCGCAGUUGCAGCGGUGUCCGGAUCUUCCCCUCGGACCUUGAAAAUCCGGGAGAGGGCCACGUGGAGGUGUCGCGCCGGUUCGUACCCAUAUCCGCAGCAGGUCUCCAAGGUGAAGAGCCUCUAGUCGA
rnacentral:rRNA from 1 species